CCUGACGACUAUAAGGAGAACAUUUAGGAUCAAGAAUCAGCUAGCCACUCCCAAAGAACAACUAUUUCCUGAGAAAGACAGAACUUCAACUUUGAAUGUGAGCGUUUUUUACAAACUGAAGGCAAACCCUUCACCAGC